GAAACUGCCCGUGUAAGCGGGAGGAAGGUGGGGAUGACGUCAAGUCAGCAUGGCCCUUACGCCUGGGGCUACACACAUGCUACAAUGGACGUUAACAAAGGGCAGCAAGACCGCGAGGUGGAGCUAAUCUCAAAAAUACGUCCUCAGUUCGGAUUGUAGUCUGCAACUCGACUACAUGAAGUCGGAAUCGCUAGUAACCGCAGGUCAGCUAAACUGCGGUGAAUACGUUCCCGGGCCUUGUACACACCGCCCGUCAAGCCACGAAAGUGGGGGGCAUCCGAAGUCGCCGAGGUAACCCGAAAGGGAGCUAAGCGCCGAAGAUGAACUCCGCGAUUGGGACUAAGUCGUAACAAGGUAGCCGUACCGGAAGGUNNUGCGGCUGGAUCACCUCCUUUCUAU
rnacentral:rRNA from 1 species